UCCACGCAGUAAACGAUGAAUGUUAGUCGUUGGGUAGCUAGUCUAUUCAGUGAUGCAGUUAACACAUUAAACAUUCCGCCUGGGGAGUACGGUCGCAAGAUUAAAAACUCAAAGGAAUAGACGGGGACCCGCACAAGUGGUGGAGCGUGUGGUUUAAUUCGAAAAUACGCGAAGAACCUUACCUAGCCUUGACAUAUUUGAAAAUCCACCAGAGAUAGGAGUGCGGGAGCAUU
rnacentral:rRNA from 1 species